GCCCUCAUAGUUCAGCGGUAGAACGCGUCCAUGGUAAGGACGAGACCCCAUUUCGACUACGAGUGAGGGCACCA
rnacentral:tRNA from 1 species